GUGUCAGCAGCCGCGGUAAGACGAACCGUGCGAACGUUAUUCGGAAUCAUUGGGCUUAAAGGGCGCGUAGGCGGAGCGGCGCGUCGGCGUUGAAAGCCCCCGGCUCAACCGGGGAACCGGCGCCGAAACGGCCGCGUCUCGAGGCGAGAAGAGGGACCUGGAACUUCCGGUGGAGCGGUGAAAUGCGUUGAGAUCGGACGGAACACCAGCGGCGAAAGCGAGGUCCUGGGCUCGUACUGACGCUGAGGCGCGAAAGCCAGGGGAGCGAACGGGAUUAGAUACCCUGGUAGUCC
rnacentral:rRNA from 1 species